GCACGACCUGGGCUCGUAUGUGUGCGAGGCCAACAACGGCAUCCAGCGAUUUCGGGAGAGCACCGAGGUCAUUGUGCAUGAAAAGCCCUUCAUCAACGUCGAGUGGCUCAAAGGACCCAUCCUGGAGGCCACGGCAGGAGACGAGCUGGUGAAGCUGCCCGUGAAGCUGGCAGCGUACCCCCCGCCCGAGUUCCAGUGGUACAAGGAUGGAAAGGCACUGUCCGGGCGCCACAGUCCACAUGCCCUGGUGCUCAAGGAGGUGACAGAGGCCAGCACGGGCACCUACACCCUCGCCUUGUGGAACUCCGCUGCUGGCCUGAGGCGCAACAUCAGCCUGGAGCUGGUGGUGAAUGGUAGGCCAGGGACGGGAGAGCGCACGGGUCGGCGGCCUGGCAUUGGAGGCCAGCUGACCGGCCAUCUGCUGUGCCCACAGUGCCCCCCCAGAUACACGAGAAGGAGGCCUCCUCCCCCAGCAUCUACUCGCGUCACAGCCGCCAGGCCCUCACCUGCACGGCCUACGGGGUGCCCCUGCCUCUCAGCAUCCAGUGGCACUGGCGGCCCUGGACACCCUGCAAGAUGUUUGCCCAGCGCAGUCUCCGGCGGCGGCAGCAGCGAGACCUCAUGCCACAGUGCCGCGACUGGAGGGUGGUGACCACGCAGGAUGCCGUGAACCCCAUCGAGAGCCUGGACACCUGGACCGAGUUUGUGGAGGGAAAGAAUAAGACUGUGAGCAAGCUGGUGAUCCAGAAUGCCAACGUGUCCGCCAUGUACAAGUGUGUGGUCUCCAACAAGGUGGGCCAGGAUGAGCGGCUCAUCUACUUCUAUGUGACCACCAUCCCCGACGGCUUCAGCAUCGAAUCCAAGCCAUCCGAGGAACUACUAGAGGGCCAGCCCGUGCUCCUGAGCUGCCAAGCCGACAGCUACAAGUACGAGCAUCUGCGCUGGUACCGCCUCAACCUGUCCACGCUGCACGAUGCGCACGGGAACCCGCUGCUGCUAGACUGCAAGAACGUGCAUCUGUUCGCCACCCCUCUGGCCGCCAGCCUGGAGGAGGUGGCGCCUGGGGCGCGCCACGCCACGCUCAGCCUGAGUAUCCCCCGCGUCGCGCCCGAGCACGAGGGCCACUAUGUGUGCGAAGUGCAAGACCGGCGCAGCCAUGACAAGCACUGCCACAAGAAGUACCUGUCGGUGCAGGCCCUGGAAGCCCCUCGGCUCACGCAGAACUUGACCGAUCUCCUGGUGAACGUGAGCGACUCACUGGAGAUGCAGUGCUUGGUGGCCGGAGCGCACGCGCCCAGCAUCGUGUGGUACAAAGACGAGAGGCUGCUGGAGGAAAAGUCUGGAGUCGACUUGGCGGACUCCAACCAGAAGCUGAGCAUCCAGCGCGUGCGCGAGGAGGAUGCGGGACGCUAUCUGUGCAGCGUGUGCAACGCCAAGGGCUGCGUCAACUCCUCCGCCAGCGUGGCCGUGGAAGGCUCCGAGGAUAAAGGCAGCAUGGAGAUCGUGAUCCUUGUCGGUACCGGCGUCAUCGCUGUCUUCUUCUGGGUCCUCCUCCUCCUCAUCUUCUGUAACAUGAGGAGGCCGGCCCACGCAGACAUCAAGACGGGCUACCUGUCCAUCAUCAUGGACCCCGGGGAGGUGCCUCUGGAGGAGCAAUGCGAAUACCUGUCCUACGACGCCAGCCAGUGGGAAUUCCCCCGAGAGCGGCUGCACCUGGGGAGAGUGCUCGGCUACGGCGCCUUCGGGAAGGUGGUGGAAGCCUCCGCUUUCGGCAUCAACAAGGGCAGCAGCUGUGACACCGUGGCCGUGAAAAUGCUGAAAGGUGUAGGGUCAGCGGGCGGAAGGGGCAGCCUAGCUGGUGAGGAGCAGCAGCUCUGGGUGGGCCGGUGGGACGGCAACUCAGGAAGGGAAACUGAGGCUGGAAGCCAGUCUCAUCCAAGAUUCUACAGGGAGGAUGCGGGAGUCAGAGCCAAGGUACCACCUGAACCCCCUGCCUCAGUGGGGCCAGCAGGAUGUCCUGGGGACCCUUGGUACCCCUCCCCCUCCCAAAAGCGCUGGCUGUGCCUUAGCUAAGCGGCCAGUGGCGGGGAAGGGGGACGUGCCGGGAUUGGGGCCGAUGUGAGACGUGUCCCCCCAGAGGGCGCCACAGCCAGCGAGCACCGCGCGCUGAUGUCGGAGCUCAAGAUCCUAAUUCACAUCGGCAACCACCUCAACGUGGUCAACCUCCUGGGGGCGUGCACCAAGCCGAAGGGCCCCCUCAUGGUGAUCGUGGAGUAUUGCAAGUACGGCAACCUCUCCAACUUCCUGCGCGCCAAGCGGGAGACCUUCAGGCCCUAUGCAGAGAAGUCUCCCGAGCAGCGCGGACGCUUCCGCGCCAUGGUGGAGCUCGCCAGGCUGGAUCGGAGGAGGCCAGGGAGCAGCGACAGGGUCCUCUUCGCACGGUUCUCGAAGAACCAGGGCGGAGCGAGGCGGGCUUCUCCAGACCAAGAAGCUGAGGACCUGUGGCUGAGCCCGCUGACCUUGGAAGACCUUGUCUGCUACAGCUUCCAGGUGGCCAGAGGAAUGGAGUUCCUGGCUUCCCGAAAGUGCAUCCACAGAGACCUGGCUGCUCGGAACAUUCUGCUGUCAGAAAGCGACGUGGUGAAGAUCUGUGACUUUGGCCUUGCCCGGGACAUCUACAAAGACCCUGACUACGUCCGCAAGGGCAGUGCCCGGCUGCCCCUGAAGUGGAUGGCCCCUGAAAGCAUCUUCGACAAGGUGUACACCACGCAGAGUGACGUGUGGUCCUUUGGGGUGCUUCUCUGGGAGAUCUUCUCUCUGGGUGAGUGCAGGAUGGGGUGCCGGUGGGGAGAGGAGGCGAGGUCACUGGCGGCAGGUUACACUUCCGGCCCUGCUGGAGUGAGGGACUGGGCACCUGGAGGUGUGUGCCGGGUCGUUCUGAAGCAGAUGGUUUGUGGGCCACCAAGGGUCCCCCACCUCUCCGCAGCCAGGCCCAGCCUCCGAGAGGACUUUGCCUCCAACGUGGGCCACCCUCUGUGGGGUGCACAUUGAAGCCUGGGCCAGGACUGAGCCUGUUCAUAUGGCAGCCCCAGAGGGAGCCCAGUGCCCAGUCAGCGGACGUGCCUACUCCAAGAGCUCCAUGUGGGAACUCAGGCCCCGCUGCCAGCAUGAUGAAGUCUCCAGGCCAGGGUAGGGCAGUGAAGUUGAAAAAGUUAAAAUGUCACCAAGUGGCAACUGAUCCACGCUACUGCGAGCAGGAAGAGUGUAGGAGGCGUGGGAGCUGGGGUAAGCUAGAGGGGCCCAAGGAGGGAGUUCAGCAGUCCAGGACAGGGAGCAGGGGGGGGAGCAGCAGGGUUGGGGGGAGCAGCAGGGUUGGGGGGAGCAGCAGGAGAAGCAACGAGAGGCAAGAGAGGCUCUGUUGAAACUGCCUGCAGGCGGCUCCCCCGCCGCUGAUGAUCCGGUAACCAUGACGUCUACCGUGUCGCCAGUGCGUGGAUGCUCUUGGCACCCCUAGCAAGCAGGCGGCACAGUCCUCUUUCAACCAAAUGCACUAGAGCUGGGGGAGGGCAGCAAAUUGCCCAGGUCCGAGGUAGAGCACAGUCGGGUGAGCCAUCUCCACCCCACCACGGAUGGGGGAAGCAACAGGACGGGUGACUUGGGGGGGAAGGGACAGGACGGGUGAUGGGGGGAAAGGACAGGACGGGGUGACUUGGAGAAGGGACAGGACAAGGUGACUUGGGGAAGGGACAAGACGGGGUGACUUGGGGGGCUGGGCUGAGCCGCAGGAGGCUUGCUCCCCACCCACCUCCCUUCCUGUUGUCAGGGGCCUCCCCAUACCCUGGGGUGCAGAUCAAUGAGGAGUUCUGUCAGCAGCUGAGAGACGGCACAAGGAUGAGGGCCCCGGAGCUGGCCACUCCCGCCAUACGCCGCAUCAUGCUGAACUGCUGGUCCGGAGACCCCAAGGCGAGACCUGCAUUCUCGGAGCUGGUGGAGAUCCUGGGGGACCUGCUCCAGGGCAGGGGUCUGCAAGAGGAAGACGAGGUCUGCAUGGCCCCGCGCGGCUCUCAGAGCUCAGAAGAGGGCAGCUUCUCGCAGGUGUCCACCAUGGCCCUACACAUCGUCCAGGCUGACGCUGAGGACAGCCCACCAAGCCUGCAGCGCCACAGCCUGGCCGCCAGGUAUUACAACUGGGUGUCCUUUCCCGGGUGCCUGGCCAGAGGGGCUCAGACCCGUGGUUCCUCCAGGAUGAAGACAUUUGAGGAAUUCCCCAUGACCCCAACAACCUACAAAGCCUCUGUGGUACUUCACAUGAAGGGUGGGGGCUGCGCUCUGGGGUCAGGGCUGGGGCCGCCUCAGGGGAGGCAGCGUCAGGAAUUCGUAAGGCAAAUGGCAGAACCCAACAACUGUCCUUUGAAAGUGCAAGUCCAGGGAGAGCCUUGGGCUCAUUUGGGCCCUCCCGCGAUGCCACGACUCACAGCUGCUUUCUGUCCUGUGCCUUCGUCACCCCCACACGAGGCCUCCCCUCCUCAGCAGCGUAGAAACCCCAGUGGAAGGACAGCUCCUCCUCGGUGGCAGGUUCAGGGGUCCUGGGCCUGGUCAGUGAGCGCUGGGCAGAUGGGCCCCAUGGGAGCCCUUGGCCAGACCACAGGGACCUGGGUUCCUGCCUCCAGGGCCACUUGGAGAUGUUGGGGGACUCUGAAAAGAUCGCAGUUUCCCUCCCGUGUAAUUCAAAAUAAAAACCACACCAAUCCACAGUCGAAGGGUAACAAAGCCCCCCAAACCGGGAGGCAGCCUCACGUUGAUCAUUUUUUUGAACCAUGAGCUGCCAGGUUGUGAGGCCUGUCCCUGGUUUUCCCACAGCUCCUGCUCUUUCACACACUGAGCAUAUGCUUAGCCACCAUGCAGGUCCCCUAGUAUGAGGUGUCCACGGGCCACACACAGCCCCCCGACCUCAGUGUCUCCCUCCAUGGCAGGGGCAUGUGACCCUCACCCUAAGAUGGAACGGACGCCUUGUUUCCGGCUCAGCUUCCCAGGGACAGGUGUUAGGUCAGCCGCACCGCAGGGUCAUGUCCCGCUUUCCUGGCUGGGGGUGGCUGCCCUGCAGGAGGGCCUCAGGCGGGACCCACAGCCUGGCUUGUCCUCUCCACACAGGACAACCAGACAGACAGUGGGAUGGUGCUGGCCUCGGAGGAGUUUGAGCAGAUAGAGAGCAGGCAUAGACAAGAAAGCGGCUUCAGGUAGCCGAGCAGAGAGAGAAGGCAGCAUACGUCAGCGUUUUCUUCUCUUGCACUUAUAAGAAAGAUUAAAGACUUGAAGACUUUCACUAUUUCUUCUACCGCUACCUACUACGAACUUCAAAGAGGAACCAGGAGUACAGGAGGAACAUGAAAGUGGACAAGGAGCGUGAACACUGAAGCACCACAGGGAGGGGUUAUGCCUCCGGAUGACUGCGGGCCAGGCCUGGAUAAUAUCCAGCUUCCCAGAAGAAGCUGGUGGAGCAGAGUGUUCCCUGACUCCUCCAAGGAAAGGAGACUCCCUUUCAUGGUCUGCUAAGU
rnacentral:sRNA from 1 species